GUGGAUGUAGCUCAGUGGUAGAGCCCCGGAUUGUGGCCCGGUGGUCGUGGGUUCGAUCCCCACAUCAUCCCACCCCA
rnacentral:tRNA from 1 species